rnacentral:rRNA from 1 species
UACAGAGGUCUCAAGCGUUGUUCGGAUUCAUUGGGCGUAAAGGGUGCGUAGGUGGCGCGGUAAGUCGGGUGUGAAAUCUCGGAGCUUAACUCCGAAAUUGCAUUCGAUACUGCCGUGCUCGAGGACUGGAGAGGAGACUGGAAUUCAUGGUGUAGCAGUGAAAUGCGUAGAGAUCAUGAGGAAGACCAGUGGCGAAGGCGGGUCUCUGGACAGUUCCUGACGCUGGAGGCACGAAGGUCAGGGGAGCAAACGGG